AAUUACUGGGCGUAAAGCGUGCGCAGGCGGUUUUGUAAGACAGAGGUGAAAUCCCCGGGCUCAACCUGGGAACUGCCUUUGUGACUGCAAGGCUUGAGUGCGGCAGAGGGGGAUGGAAUUCCGCGUGUAGCAGUGAAAUGCGUAGAUAUGCGGAGGAACACCGAUGGCGAAGGCAAUCCCCUGGGCCUGCACUGACACUCAUGCACGAAAGCGUGGGGAGCAAACAGGAUUAGAUACCCUGGUAGUCCACGCCCUAAACGAUGUCAACUGGUUGUUGGGAAGGUUCCUUCUCG
rnacentral:rRNA from 1 species